GACGAGUGGCGCACGGGUGCGUAACACGUAUGCAACCUACCCUUUACUGGGGAAUAACCCCGCGAAAGCGGGGCUAAUACCCCAUAGAAUUGUUUAAUGGCAUCGUUAAACGAUUAAAGAUUUAUUGGUAAGGGAUGGGCAUGCGUCCCAUUAGUUAGUUGGUAAGGUAACGGCUUACCAAGGCGAUGAUGGGUAGGGGUUCUGAGAGGAUUAUCCCCCACACUGGUACUGAGACACGGACCAGACUCCUACGGGAGGCAGCAGUAAGGAAUAUUGGGCAAUGGGCGAAAGCCUGACCCAGCCAUGCCGCGUGCAGGAAGACGGCCUUAUGGGUUGUAAACUGCUUUUCUGUGAGACUAACCUACCGUACGCGUACGGUACUGCAGGUAUCAUAGGAAUAAGCAUCGGCUAACUCCGUGCCAGCAGCCGCGGUAAUACGGAGGAUGCAAGCGUUAUCCGGAAUCAUUGGGUUUAAAGGGUGCGUAGGCGGACAAGUAAGUCAGUGGUGAAAUUCCCGUGCUUAACAUGGGCGCUGCCAUUGAUACUGCUGGUCUAGAGUUUAGAUGACGUUGGCGGAAUGUGUCAUGUAGCGGUGAAAUGCAUAGAUAUGACACAGAACACCGAUAGCGAAGGCAGCUGACGAAGCUAACACUGACGCUGAUGCACGAAAGCGUGGGGAUCAAACAGGAUUAGAUACCCUGGUAGUCCACGCUGUAAACGAUGAUCACUAGCUGUAUGCGAUAUAUUGUAUGUGGCUAAGGGAAACCGAUAAGUGAUCCACCUGGGGAGUACGUCGGCAACGAUGAAACUCAAAGGAAUUGACGGGGGCCCGCACAAGCGGAGGAGCAUGUGGUUUAAUUCGAUGAUACGCGAGGAACCUUACCUGGGCUUGA
rnacentral:rRNA from 1 species